GAUGAACGCUGGCGGCGUGCCUAAUACAUGCAAGUCGAGCGAACGGACGAGAAGCUUGCUUCUCUGAUGUUAGCGGCGGACGGGUGAGUAACACGUGUAUAACCUACCUAUAAGACUGGGAUAACUUCGGGAAACCGGAGCUAAUACCGGAUAAUAUUUUGAACCGCAUGGUUCAAAAGUGAAAGACGGUCUUGCUUUCACUUAUAGAUGGAUCCGCGCUGCAUUAGCUAGUUGGUCAGGUAACGGCUUACCAAGGCAACGAUGCAUAGCCGACGUGAGAGGGUGAUCGGACACACUGGAAGUGAGACACGGUCCAGACUCCUACGGGAGGCAGCAGUAGGGAAUAUUCCGCAAUGGGCGAAAGCAUGACGGAGCAACGCCGCGUGAGUGAUGAAGGUCUUCGGAUCGUAAAACUCUGUUAUUAGGGAAGAAAAUAUGUGUAAGUAACUGUGCACAUCUUGACGGUACCUAAUCAGAAAGCAACGGCUAACUACGUG
rnacentral:rRNA from 1 species